GCUUUGGCAGCGAAGGAGCCGCCUGGCUGGAGGGGCUUUGUCAAGACCUGGGUGAGGGGGGAAGUUUGAUCUUUUGAGAGAGGUAGAGAUCCCAGGGGAGGGAGCCAGCGCUGGAAACAGGUGGCCCUGGGGGCUGCAGGAAACACCCUGUUGGAGAGAGAGACCAGCACUGCAGUGAGGAGCCCUGGGCUACGGAGACACACACUCUGCUCAGCUCGUUUCAAAUCCCUGCGUGACCAGCAGCCGGCCUGUUUGGGGGAAGUAGGCAGGAGCAUUUGACACAGCACAGGUGUGAGUGAUUUCACAGGCUGCAAAGCAGUGAAGAAUCAGGCUUGUUAAUUGCUAAGUAUUAUAACACAGAAAUAACUUUUGUCCUGGUCUAAUUUCUGAUGGCUCUUAUUGUGAAGCAAAUGUUAGAAACUAUUUUGAUGCUCCAGCAUUGUAUGUAUCAAGGUGAUAUACUGUGGCUACGUGACCUACAUGAUGUGAC